CUCAGAGGGAAGGCCAGGCAUGAGGAAAAGAGCCAUUCACUUCAUUAAUUUCAAUUUAGUAUUGAACCAUUUCAAUCAAUGAUUUAUUAUUUUUGUUUAUAAAAUAUGUUGUAGUUCCCCAAAGAGAGCUCUUAAUCCUCUUAAGAAUGCACUAAACUCCUCCAUAUCUGUUCCUGAAGAGACUAUAGGAAGCUCUCCUCGUCUUCUGAGCCUCUACCAAGAAUUAGCAAAUGCAGUAGGAGGAAAAAUCACUCUGACUCUCAGAUUUGCCAUCAGUCUUGAUACAACAUUCAGAAGCUUGUCUGAAAAAGAAACCGAAUGGAGGCAAAGUAGCCAAGAGAUGAGAAAAGAGUACAGACCCUGAUGAUCUCAUUUGAUCCUUGGAUUCUCCCAUGAUGCCUCUUGGACUAUUCAGUUUUUAAAUGCAAUUUUAUCCAUUUUUGAAUGAUCAUUAAGUUGGGUCUCUGUCAUGUGAAGUUAAAGCACCGUAUAUGUCAAUGGAUACAGUGUCAAUAUGUAGAAAUCAACUUUGUUUCUAUAAGCUACCAAGAUGUAAUUGAAACAUAAAAUUUAAAAAAUUAUUUACAAUAGCACCAAGAACAAAAUCUAAUGAAAAAUUUGUAGGCCCUUUACACAAAACUACAAGAUUAAGCCAAGAGAAAUUAAAGAUCUAAAUAAAUGGAGGAUGCUAUCAAGUUCAAAGAUUGGAAAAAUUCUUACUGUAAAG
rnacentral:lncRNA from 1 species